rnacentral:misc_RNA from 1 species
GGAUAUUGAAUUGCAGUAAAAGCCUCUUCUUUAGCAAAAUCACUUUCUAUUGGAAAUUCAAAAAGUUUUUUGAAACAAAAACCAAAUAAACGAGUUUUUGGUUUUUAUGUAUUUCUACAAUAAAGUAUUCCUUUAAUAAAUUUAGACUUUAAUUAGAACUAUAAAUUAUAUAUAAUUUAUAUUAUUUUUAAUUCUAAAAAUAAUAUCUAUAUCUUAGGAUUUCAAUUACUUAAUUAAGUAACAAUUUACUUAUUAAUUAACUUUUCACAAUAGAAGAAAAUCUUUUCUUCUAUUGUGAAAAGUUUAAUAGAAAUUAAAUUAAAUUUGAGAUUUAAAUAUUUCCUAUCUUAUAUAUAUAUAUUUUUUUUUAAUUUUUAAAAAAUUAAAAAAAGAUUUAUAAUUUACUGUUAAUUUCAACAUGAAAAAAUAAAAAAAGAUAAAUGAUAAAAACUUUGCAUUUAUUUUUUUNNNNNAUUCUACUAGAAUAUUAAAAAAUAAAAAAGACUAAAUUCUUUUUGUUUUUUUUAAUUUUUUUAAAUAUUAAAAAAAAUGAUUUUUCUUCCUAUCAUUAUUGAUACGGAAAAUAAGAUAAAUGAUAAAAAAAUAGUAAGUUUUAUAAAAAAAGUAAGAUUUUGCCAUUGAGGAUGUCAAAAUAAAAUGAAAAAAAAUCUUUUCUCUUUAUCCAUUCUAAAAUUUCUUAUUUCAAAUANAAAUUCUUAAAUCUUGACGANUUAAACAUGANCUUGGCUUAUUAUUUAAAAAAAGCCGCC